rnacentral:tRNA from 1 species
GUUUAGGUGGCCGAGUACAGGCCAUAAACUGUAAAUUUAUUCACGGAUCUUCAUCCCCUGAACA